rnacentral:rRNA from 1 species
UCCGGUUGAUCCUGCCGGAGGCCACUGCUAUGGGGGUCCGACUAAGCCAUGCGAGUCAUGGGGCGCCUUGCGCGCACCGGCGAACGGCUCAGUAACACGUGGCUAACCUACCCUCGGGUGGGGGAUAACCUCGGGAAACUGAGGCUAAUCCCCCAUAGGGGAGGAGGUCUGGAAUGAUCCCUCCCCGAAAGGCGUAAGCCGCCCGAGGAUGGGGCUGCGGCGGAUUAGGUAGUUGGUGGGGUAAUGGCCCACCAAGCCUACGAUCCGUACGGGCCCUGAGAGGGGGGGCCCGGAGAUGGACACUGAGACACGGGUCCAGGCCCUACGGGGCGCAGCAGGCGCGAAACCUCCGCAAUGCGCGAAAGCGCGACGGGGGGACCCCGAGUGCCCUGCCUCUGGCAGGGCUUUUCCGGAGUGUAAACAGCUCCGGGAAUAAGGGCUGGGCAAGUCCGGUGCCAGCAGCCGCGGUAAUACCGGCGGCCCAAGUGGUGGCCACUGUUAUUGGGCCUAAAGCGUCCGUAGCCGGCCCGGUAAGUCUCUGCUUAAAUCCCGCGGCUUAACCGCGGGGCUGGCAGAGAUACUGCCGGGCUUGGGACCGGGAGAGGCCGGGGGUA